rnacentral:rRNA from 1 species
UACAGAGAGUGCAAACGUUGUUCGGAAUCACUGGGCUUAAAGCGCACGUAGGCGGCACUGUAAGUGUCGGGUGAAAUCCCACGGCUCACCCGUGGAACUGCCCGGCAGACUGUGGUGCUCGAGUGUGGUAGGGGAGAGCGGAACUCCUGGUGGAGCGGUGAAAUGCGUAGAUAUCAGGAGGAACACCGAUGGCGAAGGCAGGUCUCUGGGCCGCAACUGACGCUGAGGAGCGAAAGCAUGGGGAGCGAACAGG